rnacentral:lncRNA from 1 species
CUUCCUUGUGGGAUCGACCCGAUAUAUACCCUAAACUACUAGUUGAUCUGUAUACUUGCAGUGAACGGGUGUAAUUCGGUAUUUUUUAGCUUGCACGUAUGUAAAAUACCCGUCAGGUAUCAAGGCAACGACGCUGAGUCUAAAUCUAAGGAGGAGAAGCCUCUUAUGAAAGACUUCGAGUCGAAGCCCGGCUCCUUUCUCUGGGGGCAUCAAGGCAACGACAAUCACCAUGCAGAGUCGUCCCUUUCCAAUCAGAAGAAGACAAGUAAUGGUAUACAAUAAUAGAAGGAUUUACGAGUCGAAGUGAGUCGAAGCCCGGCUCCUUUCUCUGGGGGCAUCAAGGCAACGACAAUCACCAUGCAGAGUCGUCCCUUUCCAAUCAGAAGAAGACAAGUAAUGGUAACAUAUUGAAGGAUUUCGAGUCGAAGUUU